CUCUAUCUGCGGCGUGUGGCGGCGAGAUGUCUCACAGGAAAUUCUCAGCUCCCAGGCAUGGGUCCUUGGGCUUCCUGCCUCGCAAGCGCAGCAGCCGGCAUCGUGGGAAAGUGAAGAGCUUCCCUAAGGAUGACGCUUCCAAGCCCGUUCACCUCACAGCCUUUCUGGGUUACAAGGCUGGCAUGACCCACAUCGUCCGGGAAGUUGACAGGCCAGGAUCUAAGGUGAACAAGAAAGAAGUCGUGGAGGCUGUGACCAUUGUGGAAACUCCCCCAAUGGUGGUUGUGGGCAUUGUGGGAUAUGUUGAGACCCCACGAGGCCUCCGGACCUUCAAGACUGUAUUUGCUGAGCACAUCAGCGAUGAGUGUAAAAGGCGCUUCUAUAAGAACUGCUCCGCUCGGCUCUGCCCGAUGAGCUUCAUCCAGGCUCCGCUUGCCGGUGGAAAAGGCUCCUUAGAAGCCGGCAAUGAGCCCCAUCCCCAAAUGGUGCCAGUCUGCCUUCCUCUCACCUGUUGCAAGGGUGAUGAAGGCCUGCACCGGGCCCCUCCCCCAACUGUGCUCUGCUCCUGAAGGCACAAGUCUAAGAAGAAGGCUUUCACCAAGUACUGUAAGAAAUGGCAGGAUGACACAGGCAAGAAGCAGCUGGAGAAGGACUUCAACAGCAUGAAGAAGUACUGCCAGGUCAUCCGCAUCAUUGCCCACACUCAGAUGCGUCUGCUUCCUCUACGCCAGAAGAAGGCACACUUGAUGGAGAUCCAGGUGAAUGGAGGCACUGUGGCUGAGAAGCUCGACUGGGCCCGAGAGCGGCUGGAGCAGCAGGUUCCUGUGAACCAGGUGUUUGGGCAGGAUGAGAUGAUUGAUGUCAUUGGCGUGACAAAAGGCAAAGGGUACAAAGGGGUAACCAGUCGUUGGCAUACAAAGAAACUGCCCCGAAAGACCCAUCGAGGUUUGCGCAAAGUUGCCUGUAUUGGAGCCUGGCACCCUGCCCGUGUUGCCUUCUCUGUGGCUCGAGCUGGGCAGAAAGGCUACCAUCACCGAACAGAGAUUAACAAGAAGAUUUACAAGAUUGGUCAAGGCUACCUCAUCAAGGAUGGCAAACUGAUCAAGAACAAUGCAUCUACUGACUAUGACUUGUCUGACAAGAGCAUCAACCCACUGGGUGGCUUUGUGCAUUAUGGUGAGGUGACCAAUGACUUCAUCAUGCUCAAAGGCUGUGUGGUGGGGACCAAGAAGCGAGUACUUACUCUUCGUAAGUCCUUGCUGGUUCAGACCAAACGUCGGGCCCUGGAGAAGAUUGACCUGAAGUUCAUUGACACCACCUCCAAAUUUGGCCAUGGUCGCUUCCAGACCAUGGAGGAGAAGAAAGCAUUUAUGGGACCACUCAAGAAAGAUCGCAUUGCCAAGGAGGAAGGAGCUUGAUUCCAGGACCACUUUGUGCAGAUGGUGGGGUCUCACCAAUAAAAUAUUUCUACUCACA